CGUGGUAUACUGAGUAUUGUACUUUUGUAUAGGUUACAUGGUAAGGAUGUUUCAAUUAACUUUCUCCAUUGCACCAAUUCAGAACUACAAAUAAUUACGUGCCGGUUGGCGCAUAGGAGGAUUUUUCUAAUGAAACAAGGAACAGUAAAGUGGUUUAACGCAGAUAAAGGUUUUGGCUUUAUCACUCGUCAAGAUGGUAGUGACGUAUUUGUUCACUUCUCAGCUAUUCAAGGUGAAGGUUUCAAGAGUUUAGACGAAGGUCAAAGUGUUACUUUCGACGUUGAAGAAGGUCAACGUGGACCACAAGCAGUUAACGUUGUUAAAGCGUAAGCUGAAUUUAGUAGAUUAAAACAAGGCUGAGAAAGUUUUACUUUCUCAGCCUUUU
rnacentral:other from 1 species